CCUACGGGAGGCAGCAGUGGGGAAUAUUGCACAAUGGGGGGAACCCUGAUGCAGCGACGCCGCGUGGGUGAGUGAGUACUUCGGUAUGUAAAGCCCUAUCAGCAGGGAAGAAAAUGACGGUACCUGACUAAGAAGCCCCAGCUAAGUACGUGCCAGCAGCCGCGGUAAUACGUAGGGGGCAAGCGUUAUCCGGGUUUACUGGGUGUAAAGGGAGCGUAGGCGGCGUGCCAAGUCUGAUGUGAAAGGCAGGGGCUCAACCCCCGGACUGCAUUGGAAACUGGCAUGCCGGAGUGCCGGAGGGGCAAGCGGAAUUCCUAGUGUAGCGGUGAAAUGCGUAGAUAUUGGGAGGAACACCGGUGGCGAAGGCGGCUUGCUGGACGGUAACUGACGUUGAGGCACGAAGGCGAGGGGAGCGAACGGGAUUAGAUACCCUGGUAGUC
rnacentral:rRNA from 1 species